AGGGUUCGAUUCUGGCUCAGGAUGAACGCUAGCUACAGGCUUAACACAUGCAAGUCGAGGGGCAGCAUUGGAGUAGCAAUACUCAGAUGGCGACCGGCGCACGGGUGAGUAACACGUAUCCAACCUGCCGCUUACUCGGGGAUAGCCUUUCGAAAGAAAGAUUAAUACCCGAUGGUAUAAAGAGUUCGCAUGUUCUCUUUAUUAAAGAAUUUCGGUAAGCGAUGGGGAUGCGUUCCAUUAGAUAGUUGGCGGGGUAACGGCCCACCAAGUCUACGAUGGAUAGGGGUUCUGAGAGGAAGGUCCCCCACAUUGGAACUGAGACACGGUCCAAACUCCUACGGGAGGCAGCAGUGAGGAAUAUUGGUCAAUGGACGAGAGUCUGAACCAGCCAAAGUAGCGUGAAGGAUGACUGCCCUAUGGGUUGUAAACUUCUUUUAUAAGGGAAUAAAGUGAGGGACGUGUCCCUUUUUGUAUGUACCUUAUGAAUAAGGAUCGGCUAACUCCGUGCCAGCCGCGGC
rnacentral:rRNA from 1 species